GCCCGCCUGAGGCGGCUCGCAGGUAUCGCAAAGUCGGGCUGGUGUAGCGCGCUGCUCCCACGCGCUGCAUGAGAUGGUGCGGGGGAUUGUUCGCUGAUUGGGCGGCUGUGCCCCGGCCGGCGGAGACGUUGAAGCGCAGCCUACGCACGUAGAAGCGGUUUCGGAUCGAGGCUCGGACCGGGGUUCGAAUCCCCGCGCCUCCAUCA
rnacentral:tmRNA from 1 species